rnacentral:lncRNA from 13 species
UCUUCAACUUCUGUCCUAUCUACUUUCUGGUUAUCAGCUUGCACUGGAGGCUGUGUAGGUACAUGCGUUGUUGUAACGCGCUCGGUGUAAGGAGGAGGAAGAAGGGUUGCAGUUUCAUGCCACAGCCAGAUAUGGACACCUGGACACCCAAUCCUCGAGCGAAACUGUUCUUUCCAGCAAACAACGGCGCCUCUACCUAACCUGGAAAUACAAUCUAACUAACAAGAGAGUCAUCUGCCGAGGCCUCCAAACGAGACCCCGUGCAAGCUGGCAAGCGGUAGGAAGCUCCUGGACAUCAAGGUGUACUUCAGCUGCUCCAAGGUCUGUGUGGCAGUGGACGGCACCACUAAGUAUGGACUUCUGUAUUAGGCCACCCUUUAGUUGUUUGUGUGUGUACAGCCCAUGGAUGUGUUGGAGCUGUUUGGACUGAAGGGGGUUCGACACACUCCCAUCAGCAUCGAGAAUACCAGAGUAUCACAGGUGAGAUGUCGGUCAGCCAACACACUCUUCACCCUCCGAGCAGCCGCCAUCAGAGACACAGACCAGCUGAAACAGUUCACAGUCAACUAGAAAUCACUUAUUUUAUCUACGAGAUGGACCGUUUCAGCAAAGCAGCAAUAUCAUUAAGACUGGUUCAUAUAACAUGAACUCCUGUCAGACACCAAACAAUGACACAAUCAAUGGCAAUGUUGUGUUGUAAUGCACACAGUGUAUUGGCACUGUGUGCAUUACAACCCACUCACUACCACCUCUUUCUCCUCUCUCUCCUCUCUCAGCACUAGGAAGCCAGUCUGACUGCAACCUUCAACCUACACCCAGUGACUAUUUUCAUCUUCCCGUCCACCUCCAUCUGGUUAUGUGGUUGAUUUGCAGGAUGCCAACUUUGCCCUAGUCCUGGAAGAAGACCGGGAUAUCUCCAUAGAUUAUUUCAGGUAAGAUGUCGAUAGUUUUAGCUUGAUGGAAGCUAUACAACAUAUAGAGGGAUACUACUAUAUCUAGAAUACGCCCUCAAAAUGACUGUGUUUCUUCAAUCUCAGAGCAAAUAUCAUCGGAAGAUGUCAAUGAGUUGAAUGUAGCCGAGCAUGUGCUUUAGGAUGAAUGUUACCAUUAAUGACCAGCAGGGGGAAGCAGAUCCACAUGCCUCCUCCUGUUGUAACUCACUGGGACACUCAUUCCCCAUUGUGUGCCCCAAGCCUUCAAUGUAUUUACUGUUGAACAGGUGUGCACUCUGUCCUCUAUAAACUAAUGACUGCAAAUGCUUUAGAAACAUUUGGAGGAUUGGGCUGAUUGAAUUCAAUGCUUGUUUACCCUCGCAAAUAUGCCCUUUUGAAAUUACAUUUAAUUAAUCAAAUCAAAUGUUAUUGGUCACAUACACAUGGUUAGCAGAUGUUAUUGCAAGUGUAGCGAAAAUGCUUGUAGCAAAAUUUCCUAAGGACUAGAUGUGAGGGAGCCCUCUCUGUCGGCGCCAUCUUGAUCAUGUAGCCAAUCAACUAGGAAUCAGACAAAUCAAAGCUGUAUACACACAGGGAAAGGCCAGCAAGAACUUGUAGAGGUAGAAAGCAAAGUUCAACUAUCACCAUACAGGAAUGGAAUGUAUAAUAGUAGAGUAGUCUUGAAUUGACUUUAAAGAUUUCCAACAUGAAAUAAAGCUAUCCAAGUAUUGUUGGUGAACUGAUGCUGUUCUGCUUGUGACAUCAUGUUUAAUGUUGUUGAUGCUGUGCAGUUUCCUGAGCCAGACCUGAUCUACUGAACGAGGAUGACAGCCUGAGCUGCAUCUCAGUCUGGAAUGACCAGAUCUGUCCGUGUCCUGUCUCCACCUCUCACUUUAACACCUCUGCACCCUUAAACGCUUUCCCUUCGUUGCUGUAAUGUGUGGAAAUGAUGUUCUUAUGUCAUGUGUAAUAUCUGUUGUAAUUCUGCUAUGCAGGGUUAUCAACACACAGUAGAGGACCUGGCCCUGCUCUACAGAGUGGAGAGUGUGCUUAUGUAGUGUGUGUAUGUUAUAACCCGGGUUAUGAACACAUAGUGGAGGACCUCGGCCUGCUCUAUAGAGUGGAGAGUGUGCUUAUGUAGUGUGUGUGUGUGUUAUAACAGGGUCUCAGCCUCCAGUAUUUAUGCUGCAGUAGUUUAUGUGUCGGGGGGCUAGGGUCAGUUUGUUAUAUCUGGAGUACUUCUCCUGUCCUAUUCGGUGUCCUGUGUGCGUUCUCUAAUUCUCUCCUUCUCUCUUUCUCUCUCUCGGAGGACCUGAGCCCUAGGACCAUGCCCCAGGACUACCUGACAUGAUGACUCCUUGCUGUCCCCAGUCCACCUGGCUGUGCUGCUGCUCCAGUUUCAACUGUUCUGCCUUAUUAUUAUUCGACCAUGCUGGUCAUUUAUGAACAUUUGAACAUCUUGGCCAUGUUCUGUUAUAAUCUCCACCCGGCACAGCCAGAAGAGGACUGGCCAUCCCACAUAUGCUCUCUCUAAUUCUCUCUUUCUUUCUCUCUCUCGGAGGACCUGAGCCCUAGGACCAUGCCCCAGGAAUACCUGACAUGAUGACUCCUUGCUGUCCCCAGUCCACCUGACUGUGCUGCUGCUCCAGUUUCAACUAUUCUGCCUUAUUAUUAUUCGACCAUGCUGGUCAUUUAUGAACAUUUGAACAUCUUGACCAUGUUUUGUUAUAAUCUCCACCCGGCACAGCCAGAAGAGGACUGGCCACCCCACAUAGCCUGGUUCCUCUCUAGGUUUCUUCCUAGGUUUUGGCCUUUCUAGGGAGUUUUUCCUAGCCACCGUGCUUCUACACCUGCAUUGCUUGCUGUUUGGGGUUUUAGGCUGGGUUUCUGUACAGCACUUUGAGAUAUCAGCUGAUGUACGAAGGGCUAUAUAAAUAAAUUUGAUUUGAAAUUUGAUUUAUGAACACACAGUGGAGGACCUCGCCCUGCUCUACAGAGUGGAGAGUGUGCUUAUGUAGUGUGUGUGUGUGUGUGUGUUAUAACAGGUUAUGAACACACAGUAGAGGACCUCGCCCUGCUCUACAGAGUGGAGAGCGUGCUUAUGUAGUGUGUGUGUGUGUGUGUUAUAACAGGUUAUGAACACACAGUAGAGGACCUCGGCUUGCUCUACAGAGGGGAGAGUGUGCUUAUGUAGUGUGUGUAUGUUAUAACCGGGUUAUGAACACAUAGUGGAGGACCUCGGCCUGCUCUAUAGAGUGGAGAGUGUGCUUAUGUAGUGUGUGUGUGUGUUAUAACAGGGUUAUGAACACACAGUGGAGGACCUCGCCC